GUGGGGAAUCUUGCGCAAUGGGCGAAAGCCUGACGCAGCCAUGCCGCGUGAAUGAUGAAGGUCUUAGGAUUGUAAAAUUCUUUCACCGGGGACGAUAAUGACGGUACCCGGAGAAGAAGCCCCGACUAACUUCGUGCCAGCAGCCGCGGUAAUACGAAGGGGGCUAGCGUUGCUCGGAAUUACUGGGCGUAAAGGGCGCGUAGGCGGACAGUUUAGUCAGAGGUGCAAGCCCAGGGCUCAACCUUGGAAUUGCCUUUGAUACUGGCUGUCUUGAGUACGGGAGAGGUGAGUGGAACUCCGAGUGUAGAGGUGAAAUUCGUAGAUAUUCGGAAGAACACCAGUGGCGAAGGCGACUCACUGGCCCGUUACUGACGCUGAGGCGCGAAAGCGUGGGGAGCAAACAGGAUUAGAAACCCGAGUAGUCC
rnacentral:rRNA from 1 species